AUUGAACGCUGGCGGCAGGCCUAACACAUGCAAGUCGAACGAGUGGCGGACGGGUGAGUAAUGUCUGGGAAACUGCCCGAUGGAGGGGGAUAACUACUGGAAACGGUAGCUAAUACCGCAUACCAUCGGAUGUGCCCAGAUGGGAUUAGCUAGGAGGUGGGGUAAUGGCUCACCUAGGCGACGAUCCCUAGCUGGUCUGAGAGGAUGACCAGCCACGCUGGAACUGAGACACGGGCCCGACUCCUACGGGAGGCGGAAGUGGGGAAGAUUGCACGAUGGGCGCAAGCCUGAUGCAGCCAUGCCGCGUGUAUGAAGAAGGCCUUCGGGUUGAAAAGUACUUUCAGCGAGGAGGCGUUACUCGCAGAGGAAGCACCGGCUGACUCCGUGCCAGCAGCCGCGGUAAUAC
rnacentral:rRNA from 1 species